UUGAUUAUUACAAUUUUAUUCGCCAGGGGACUACGAGCGCAGCUUAAAACCCAAAGGACUUGGCGGUGCCCUACACCUCCUAGAGGAGCCUGUUCUAUAAUCGAUAAUCCACGAUACACCUCACCGUUUCUUGCCAAAACCGCCUAUAUACCGCCGUCUUCAACUUACCCUAUGAAGGAUUCACAGUAAGUUCAAUGAUCACCCAUCAGAACGUCAGGUCAAGGUGUAGCGAAUGAAACGGGAAGAAAUGGGCUACAUUUUCUAUUUUAGACUACACGGAUAAUCAGUAUGAAACCUGAUUUUGAAGGAGGAUUUAGCAGUAAAAAGAAAUCAGAAAGUUCUUUUUAAGUCGGACCUAGGGCGCGUACACACCGCCCGUCACC
rnacentral:rRNA from 1 species